rnacentral:rRNA from 1 species
UAGGUGGGAGACUUUGAAGCCGUGACGCCAGUCAUGGUGGAGUCGCCGUUGAAAUACCACUCUGGUCGUGCUGGAUGUCUAACCUCGGUCCGUGAUCCGGAUCAGGGACAGUGUCUGAUGGGUAGUUUAACUGGGGCGGUUGCCUCCCAAAGGGUAACGGAGGCGCCCAAAGGUUCCCUCAGCCUGGUUGGCAAUCAGGUGUUGAGUGUAAGUGCACAAGGGAGCUUGACUGUGAGACCGACGGGUCGAGCAGGGACGAAAGUCGGGACUAGUGAUCCGGCGGUGGCUUGUGGAAGCGCCGUCGCUCAACGGAUAAAAGGUACCCCGGGGAUAACAGGCUGAUCUUCCCCAAGAGUCCAUAUCGACGGGAUGGUUUGGCACCUCGAUGUCGGCUCGUCGCAUCCUGGGGCUGGAGUCGGUCCCAAGGGUUGGGCUGUUCGCCCAUUAAAGCGGUACGCGAGCUGGGUUUAGAACGUCGUGAGACAGUUCGGUCCCUAUCCGCUGUGCGCGUAGGAAUAUUGAGAAGGGCUGUCCCUAGUACGAGAGGACCGGGACGGACGAACCUCUGGUGUGCCAGUUGUCCUGCCAAGGGCAUGGCUGGUUGGCUACGUUCGGGAGGGAUAACCGCUGAAAGCAUCUAAGCGGGAAGCCUGCUUCGAGAUGAGUAUUCCCACCUCCUUGAGAGGGUAAGGCUCCCAGUAGACGACUGGGUUGAUAGGCCGGAUGUGGAAGCCCAGUAAUGGGUGGAGCUGACCGGUACUAA